rnacentral:rRNA from 1 species
AUGAUAACCAUGAAACUUGUCAUCAUGAUUUUAAUUUUCAAUUGGAUUAUGCUUCACAUGAUAGUUAUUUUUGUUGAGUUUGCUCCCACCACUAUUUCGAAUGAGAAGAAAUUUGCUUAUGUGGAGAGUAAUAAAAUUUCAAUGCUUGUAGAUCAUGAAAAGAAUGCUUUAUGUGCUGGUUAUAUUGUUGAAUUCAUUCAUGAUGCUACUGAGAAUUAUUAUGAGGGAGGAACAUUUGCUUGUAGGAAUUGCAAUAAUAUCAAGUUUCCUCGCUAUGUGCUUAAAGUUUUAAAGUUAUGCUUGUUUUGCCUUCCUAUGCUAGUUGAUUAUUGUUCUCAUAAGUUGUUUGCUCACAAAAUCCCUAUGCAUAGGAAGCGGGUUAGACUUAAGUAUGCUAGUCAUAUUCAUCAUGAUGCUCUCUUUAUGUUUCAAUUCUUAUCUUUUAUGUGA